rnacentral:rRNA from 1 species
CCUACGGGAGGCAGCAGUGAGGAAUAUUGGUCAAUGGACGAGAGUCUGAACCAGCCAAGUAGCGUGAAGGAUGACUGCCCUAUGGGUUGUAAACUUCUUUUAUAUGGGAAUAAAACAGGGUAUGCAUACCCUCUUGUAUGUACCAUAUGAAUAAGGAUCGGCUAACUCCGUGCCAGCAGCCGCGGUAAUACGGAGGAUCCGAGCGUUAUCCGGAUUUAUUGGGUUUAAAGGGAGCGUAGGUGGAUUGUUAAGUCAGUUGUGAAAGUUUGCGGCUCAACCGUAAAAUUGCAGUUGAAACUGGCAGUCUUGAGUACAGUAGAGGUGGGCGGAAUUCGUGGUGUAGCGGUGAAAUGCUUAGAGAUCACGAAGAACUCCGAUUGCGAAGGCAGCUUACUGGACUGCAACUGACACUGAGGCUCGAAAGUGUGGGUAUCAAACAGGAUUAGAUACCCGUGUAGUC